rnacentral:misc_RNA from 1 species
GUGAAUCAUCGAAUCUUUGAACGCAAAUUGCGCCCUUUUCGGAAGGCAUGUGUGUUUGAGGGCGCCAUUUAGCAAAUAAUGUGCAGCGUUUUUUGUUGGAAACGAUGAUGAGCUUUGCAAGAGUUUUAAUUUUUUGGUGGCGCAUAAUGAACAGCGUGAAAGUGUUUUCAGUUCGAGUGGAGUAAAGUCGUUGUUUUGGUUGUUGAAAAACAUGAUCGCG